UACGUAGGGUGCGAGCGUUGUUCGGAAUCACUGGGCGUAAAGGGUGCGUAGGUGGCGGGGUAAGUCAGAUGUGAAAGCCCGGAGCUCAACCUCGGAACUGCAUCCGAUACUACCUUGCUAGAGUACUGAAGAGGUGACUAGAAUUCUCGGUGUAGCAGUGAAAUGCGUAGAUAUCGAGAGGAAUACCAAAGGCGAAGGCAGGUCACUGGGCAGUUACUGACACUGAGGCACGAAGGCUAGGGGAGCAAACGGG
rnacentral:rRNA from 1 species